GAUGAAGAACGUAGCGAAAUGCGAUACGUAAUGUGAAUUGCAGAAUUCAGUGAAUCAUCGAAUCUUUGAACGCAUAUUGCGCUCUCUGGUAUUCCGGAGAGCAUGCUUGUUUGAGUAUCAGUAAACACCUCAACUCCCAUAUCUUUUUUGAAAUGGGAGUUGGACUUGAGUGAUCCCAACGCUUUUCCUCACCGAAAAGUGGCGGGUUACUUGAAAUGCAGGUGCAGCUGGACUUUUCUCUGAGCUAUAAGCAUAUCUAUUUAGUCUGCCUAAAAAACAGAUUAUUACCUUUGCUGCAGCUAACAUAAAGGAGAUUAGUUCUUGUGCUGACUGAUGCAGGAUUCACAAAGACAGGCUUCGGCCGACUUUGUAAACUCGAUCUCAAAUCAAGUAAGACUACCCGCUGAACUUAAGCAUAUCAAUAAGCGGAGGA
rnacentral:misc_RNA from 1 species